GUGCAGUGAUGAAAAAAAUCGUGUUCCAAAGAUAGUGUCUCUCAUGACACUGUCUCUGACGGCACACACCUCUAAGAAGUUCUGAGCAC